GCUGGGUGUGGUGGUGUGCUUCUGUAAUCCCAGCUACUUGGGAGGCUGAGGCAGGAGAAUCGCUUGAACCCAGGAGGCAGAGGUUGCAGUGAGCCGAGUUUGCACCACUGCACUCCAGCCUGGGUGACAAAGUGAGACUCUGCCUCAA
rnacentral:SRP_RNA from 1 species